rnacentral:rRNA from 1 species
GACGAACGCUGGCGGCGUGCUUAACACAUGCAAGUCGAACGAAGUGGCGAACGGGUGAGUAACGCGUAUUCAACCUGCCGUUCAGAAACGGACAACAGUUGGAAACGAUUGCUAAUACCGCCUAAGGAAGGAGGGGAUUUCGUCUGAUUCGCUAGUUGCAGGGGUAACGGCCCUCCAAGGCGAUGAUCGGUAGCCGGUCUGAGAGGAUGAACGGCCACACUGGGACUGAGACACGGCCCAGACUCCUACGGGAGGCAGCAGUGGGGAAUCUUCCGCAAUGGACGAAAGUCUGACGGAGCAACGCCGCGUGAGUGAUGACGGCCUUCGGGUUGUAAAGCUCUGUUAAUCGGGACGCGGUACCGGAAUAGAAAGCCACGGCUAACUACGUGCCAGCAGCCGCGGUAAUUC